UACGUAGGGUGCAAGCGUUAAUCGGAAUUACUGGGCGUAAAGCGUGCGCAGGCGGUUAUGUAAGACAGGUGUGAAAUCCCCCGGGCUUAACCUGGGAACUGCAUUUGUGACUGCAUAGCUAGAGUACGGCAGAGGGGGAUGGAAUUCCGCGUGUAGCAGUGAAAUGCGUAGAUAUGCGGAGGAACACCGAUGGCGAAGGCAAUCCCCUGGGCCUGUACUGACGCUCCAUGCACGAAAGCGUGGGGAGCAAACAGG
rnacentral:rRNA from 1 species